rnacentral:rRNA from 1 species
AACGAACGCUGGCGGCAUGCCUAACACAUGCAAGUCGAACGAGACCUUCGGGUCUAGUGGCGCACGGGUGCGUAACGCGUGGGAACCUGCCCUUAGGUUCGGAAUAACUCCCCGAAAGGGGUGCUCAUACCGGAUAAUGUCUUCGGACCAAAGAUUUAUCGCCUGUGGAUGGGCCCGCGUUGGAUUAGCUAGUUGGUAGGGUAAAAGCCUACCAAGGCGACGAUCCAUAGCUGGUCUGAGAGGAUGAUCAGCCACACUGGGACUGAGACACGGCCCAGACUCCUACGGGAGGCAGCAGUGGGGAAUAUUGGACAAUGGGCGAAAGCCUGAUCCAGCAAUGCCGCGUGAGUGAUGAAGGCCUUAGGGUUGUAAAGCUCUUUUACCCGGGAUGAUAAUGACAGUACCGGGAGAAUAAGCUCCGGCUAACUCCGUG